CGGGGAGGUAGUGACGAAAAAUAACGAUACGGGACUCAUCCGAGGCCCCGUAAUCGGAAUGAGAACACAUUAAAUCCUUUAACGAGGACCAAUUGGAGGGCAAGUCUGGUGCCAGCAGCCGCGGUAAUUCCAGCUCCAAUAGCGUAUAUUAAAGUUGUUGCGGUUAAAAAGCUCGUAGUUGAAUCUGUGUGUCACAGUGUCGGUUCACCGCUCGCGGUGUUUAACUGGCAUUAUGUGGUACGUCCUACCGGCGGGCUUAGCUCUACGGGGCGGUCCAACUAAUAUCCAUCGCGGUGCUCUUUACUGAGUGUCGAGGUGGGCCGGUACGUUUACUUUGAAGAAAUUAGAGUGUUCAAAGCAGGCUCGUUUGCCUGAAUACUGUGUGCAUGGAAUAAUGGAAUAGGACCUCGGUUCUAUUUUGUUGGUUUUCGGAACCCCGAGGUAAUGAUUAAUAGGGACAGAUGGGGGCAUUCGUAUUGCGACGUUAGAGGUGAAAUUCUUGGAUCGUCGCAAGACGUACAGAAGCGAAAGCAUUUGCCAAAAAUGUUUUCAUUAAUCAAGAACGAAAGUUAGAGGUUCGAAGGCGAUCAGAUACCGCCCUAGUUCUAACCAUAAACGAUGCCAGCCAGCGAUCCGCCGAAGUUCCUCCGAUGACUCGGCGGGCAGCCUCCGGGAAACCAAAGCUUUUGGGUUCCGGGGGAAGUAUGGUUGCAAAGCUGAAACUUAAAGGAAUUGACGGAAGGGCACCACCAGGAGUGGAGCCUGCCGCUUAAUUUGACUC
rnacentral:rRNA from 1 species